CAUGGCUCAGGACGAACGCUGGCGGCGUGCCUAAUACAUGCAAGUCGAACGAACCGCGACUGAGUGCUUGCACUUGGUCAAGGUGAGUGGCGAACGGGUGAGUAACACGUGGGUAACCUACCUCAUAGUGGGGGAUAACAGUCGGAAACGACUGCUAAUACCGCAUAGGACAUAGAAUCACAUGAUUCUGUGAGGAAAGGUGGCGCAAGCUAUCGCUAAGAGAUGGACCCGCGGUGCAUUAGCUAGUUGGUAGGGUAACUUCCUACCAAGGCGAUUAUGCAUAGCCGACCUGAGAGGGGGAUCGGCCACAUUGGGACUGAGACAAGGCCCAAACCACUACGG
rnacentral:rRNA from 1 species